UACGUAGGGGGCAAGCGUUGUCCGGAAUUACUGGGCGUAAAGAGCUCGUAGGUGGUUUGUCGCGUUGUUCGUGAAAACCGGGGGCUUAACCCUCGGCGUGCGGGCGAUACGGGCAGACUUGAGUACUGCAGGGGAGACUGGAAUUCCUGGUGUAGCGGUGGAAUGCGCAGAUAUCAGGAGGAACACCGGUGGCGAAGGCGGGUCUCUGGGCCGAUACUGACGCUGAGGCUCGAAAGCUAGGGGAGCAAACAGG
rnacentral:rRNA from 1 species